UUGAAAGGGAAACGAUUGAAGUCAGUCGUGCUGUCGCGAAAUCAACCUUCUCGUCUUGAGAUCACAUGGCGUGGCGAGCCUCAAAACCGUCACGAAGCGUGAACUCUUGGUGAAAUGGAGCACUUUCGUGUCCGCUGGUUAACAUCAAUUUCGAACGUCAUAAAAAGGCUGGAGGGAUGUGGCUCCUUCGGGAGUGUUAUAACCUUUAGCGGAAUGUGGUGUUCGGGAUUGAGGAUUGCAACGAAUACCUUUAGGGCUGUUCCACCUGGCUUCUCUUUGGUAUCCUGGUGACGACAGCUUGCUGACGUCGUUAGGAUUCGCCUUUGAACAGGCUAGAGUGUGAGCAAAUUCGUUAAGGAUGUUGACGUA
rnacentral:rRNA from 1 species